CCUACGGGAGGCAGCAGUGGGGAAUAUUGGGCAAUGGACGCAAGUCUGACCCAGCAACGCCGCGUGAAGGAAGAAGGCUCUCGGGUUGUAAACUUCUUUUAAGGGGGAAGCGCAGAACACGGUACCCCUUGAAUAAGCCACGGCUAACUACGUGCCAGCAGCCGCGGGAAUACGUAGGGGGCAAGCUUUGUCCGGAUUUACUGGGUGUAAAGGGCGUGCAGCCGGUGAGACAAGGCAGAUGUGAAAUCCACGGGCUCAAACCGAGAACUGCAAUUGAAACUGUUUCCCUUGAGUGUAGGAGAGGUAAGCGGAAUUCCUUGUGUAGCGGUGAAAUGCGUAGAUAUAAGGCAGAACACCAGUGGCGAAGGCGGAUUACUGGACGAUAACUGACGGUGAGGCGCGAAAGCGUGGGGAGCAAACAGGAUUAGAUACCCGAGUAGUC
rnacentral:rRNA from 1 species